UACGUAGGGGCAAGCGUUGUCCGGAAUCAUUGGCGUAAGCGCGCGUAGGCGGCCCGGUAAGUCCGCUCUGAAAGUCCAGGCUCAACCCUGGAAAGCGGGUGGAUACUGCCGGGCUAGAAUCCGGAAGAGGCGAGUGGAAUUCCUGGUGUAGCGGUGGAAUGCGCAGAUAUCAGGAGGAACACCAAUAGCGAAGGCAGCUCGCUGGGACGGUACUGACGCUAAGGCGCGAAAGCGUGGGAGCAAACAGG
rnacentral:rRNA from 1 species